rnacentral:SRP_RNA from 1 species
GCUGGGUGUGGUGGCGCACACCUGUAAUCCCAGCACUUGGGAGGCUGAGGCAGGAGGAUCACUGUGAGUUCGAGACCAGCCUGGGCUACAUAGAGUGUUCCAGGUCAGUCUCAACUACACAGUGAGAUCCUGUCUCAA